GAUGAAGGAACGCAGCGAAAUGCGAUAAGUAGUGUGAAUUGCAGAAUUCAGUGAAUCAUCGAAUCUUUGAACGCACAUUGCGCCCCUUGGUAUCCCGAGGGGCAUGCCUGUUCGAGCGUCAUUUCACCACUCAAGCCUGGCUUGGUGUUGGGCGACGUCCCCUUUGGGGACGCGCCUCGAAACGCUCGGCGGCGUGGCACCGGCUUUAAGCGUAGCAGAAUCUUUCGCUUUGGAAGUCGGGGCCCCGUCUGCCGGAAGACCUACUCGCAAGGUUGACCUCGGAUCAGGCAGGGAUACCCGCUGAACUUAAGCAUAUCAAUAAGCGGAGGA
rnacentral:misc_RNA from 1 species